rnacentral:rRNA from 1 species
AUUGAACGCUGGCGGCAGGCCUAACACAUGCAAGUCGAGCGAGCGGCGGACGGGUGAGUAAUGUAUGGGGACUGCACGAUAAGGGGGGAUAACUACUGGAAACGGUGGCUAAUACCGAAUACUGUCGGAUAACCAAUAUGGGAUUAGCUAGUAGGUAAGGUAAUGGAUUACCUAGGCGACGAUCCCUAGCUGGUCUGAGAGGAUGAUCAGCCACACUGGGACUGAGACACGGCCCAGACUCCUACGGAGGCAGCAGUGGGGAAUAUUGCACAAUGGUCGCAAGCCUGAUGCAGCCAUGCCGCGUGUAUGAAGAAGGCCCUAGGGUUGUAAAGUACUUUCAGUCGGGAGGCGUUACCGACAGAAGAAGCACCGGCUAACUCCGUGCCAGCAGCCGCGGUAAUAC